AGCGGAUGAGUGGAGCUUGCUCCAUGAUUCAGCGGCGGACGGGUGAGUAAUGCCUAGGAAUCUGCCUGGUAGUGGGGGAUAACGUUUCGAAAGGAACGCUAAUACCGCAUACGUCCUACGGGAGAAAGUGGGGGAUCUUCGGACCUCACGCUAUCAGAUGAGCCUAGGUCGGAUUAGCUAGUUGGUGGGGUAAUGGCCCACCAAGGCGACGAUCCGUAACUGGUCUGAGAGGAUGAUCAGUCACACUGGAACUGAGACACGGUCCAGACUCCUACGGGAGGCAGCAGUGGGGAAUAUUGGACAAUGGGCGAAAGCCUGAUCCAGCCAUGCCGCGUGUGUGAAGAAGGUCUUCGGAUUGUAAAGCACUUUAAGUUGGGAGGAAGGGCAGUAAGUUAAUACCUUGCUGUUUUGACGUUACCAACAGAAUAAGCACCGGCUAACUUCGUGCCAGCAGCCGCGGUAAUACGAAGGGUGCAAGCGUUAAUCGGAAUUACUGGGCGUAAAGCGCGCGUAGGUGGUUCAGCAAGUUGGAUGUGAAAGCCCCGGGCUCAACCUGGGAAUUGCAUCCAAAACUACUGAGCUAGAGUACGGUAGA
rnacentral:rRNA from 1 species